rnacentral:rRNA from 1 species
UACGUAGGGGCAAGCGUUGUCCGGAUUUACUGGGCGUAAAGAGCGUGUAGGCGGCCAGGCAGGUCUGUUGUGAAAACUGGAGGCUCAACUUCCAGACGUCGACAGAAACCGCUUGGCUAGAGUCCGGAAGAGGAGAGUGGAAUUCCUGGUGUAGCGGUGAAAUGCGCAGAUAUCAGGAAGAACACCGAUGGCGAAGGCAGCCCCCUGGGUCAACACUGACGCUCAUGCACGAAAGCGUGGGGAGCAAACAGG